GUAGGGGACAAGCGUUAUCCGGAUUUACUGGGCGUAAAGCGCCCGUAGGCGGUUUUUUAAGUUGGACGUGAAAGCGCCUGGCUUAACUAGGCGAGGCCGUUCAAAACUGAAAAACUGGAGUCUGGCAGAGGAGCGCGGAAUUCCCGGUGUAGUGGUGGAAUGCGUAGAUAUCGGGAGGAACACCAGUGGCGAAAGCGGCGCUCUGGGCCAGAACUGACGCUGAGGGGCGAAAGCGUGGGGAGCGAACGGGAUUAGAUACCCCGGUAGUCCACGCCGUAAACGAUGGAGACUAGGUGUAGGCGGAUAGAAACCCGUCUGUGCCGCAGCCAACGCGUUAAGUCUCCCGCCUGGGGAGUACGGCCGCAAGGUUAAA
rnacentral:rRNA from 1 species